CCCUCCAACUGGUAUAGCUUCUGGAGGGCAGGACCCAUAUCCGCCCCGAGCCUGGCCCAAAGCAGCUGCUUGAUCAGUAUUUUCAGAAUGGAUCAAGAUAAAUGCAGCACGGUUUAUUAUAAAACGCGGCAAGACCAGAGUCCCGGGACUGGAUAUUAAAGAAUAACGAAAUAGAAUAGGUUCAGGCAGAGAUCGGGAACGUGACAACCUGCAAGGAGGUUGAACAGAGCAGGCUCCAUGUUCCUUUCCUCGGCCCUUUCUUUGUGCACCACCCUUAGUUUUCUCACCCUUUAGCUGACUUGCUGUUUUAUGUGUGACCUUGGCAGUGAAAGGAGACUGUCAAUACCAAAUGAAGAGGCUGAGUUGAUCCUUGUGGAACCAGAGGAUGCUAGAAGAUUUUGUGUUUGUGCUUCACAUAGAAAUCGGAAACUGAAAAAUCCCAUCGGCUAGCUUGGACAGGAGAACAGCAUAGCUUCCGUGCAGGAACGUGUUUCAAUCUCACAAUCCGUUAGCCCAGGUAGCGGGUGACAUUUCAGUAGCGUGUAUGCUGCUCACCAAUGCUAUGGAACAGAUGUGAAGACUGAUAACACUCGUGGAUCCAUCAGAAAUAUUUUUACUUGAGAACGACAAGGAGUGAUGAGGUGACACCAGUGACCCUUCAAGAAACAGCAACACUUUCAGCAAACCCACCAUGGUCCAAAGGGCACAGAGGAGGUGAUGGUGAGGUGAUGCCCUUUAUUCUAAUCUGAGACUACACAGAUGGUGACAGUGUUUGGUCGGAUUUUAGAAUCAACAGAUCACAGAGACAAAUAGGAAACAUCCUAAAUGUAAAUCAAUAGAG